rnacentral:lncRNA from 1 species
CUAUUUUGUUCUGUUAUUUAACAGUUUGAAACAAAUUGCUUCCCUUUGUCGGUUGUAGACUUGUUCUCUACUAGACAAAAUUUACUUUUGCCUUCUCAAAGAUAUAUUUCAAAGUAAUAGGUCGGUCUUUUAACAUUAUUUUUUUUGAGGGGGGGGGAAUGACGGCUGGUAUCAAAAGCUUUUAGCUGAACAAAACAUAAAUAUAAGUUACACGCAAAGAUAACUUUUUUCUUUCUAUUUGAUUUUGAUUUUCAAUUAAAAUGUAUAUCCCUCCUAAGGGAGACAACUAAACGGAUUUCUAAUUAUAAGGUAAAUUACGGGAAUUGUAAAAUAACUAUUGAAACUGUC